GAAAUAAUGUGGUGCUGAGGUUGAAUGGACCACAGCCAACUCCCUCUGCCUGGGAAGUGAAGAGGAAGAAUGAAUUGUUUUCUAGAGGAGAUGGUGCUGGUUGGAAAGAAAAUGUCCAAAGAGAUCGGUGGAUGUGGAGACUUGGUCUGGCACUUGUGAGCAACAGUGUCCUUCACCAAGGCAGAGAUGUAAAAGACUAUCAAAGAAAGACAGAGUUGAAAGACCAGUUCUUCAGGAAAUCAUGUGCAUAUCAGACUUCAGUUUCUUCAGCCAUUUUUCCAGGGAGCUUCCAGCCUUUGACCUCAGACUGGUGCUGUGUCCUUGAUCCUUCUUGUCCUGCAGCUUCCAGCUUCUUGGACUGAGCAGCUACUGGGUUCACCAGGUCUCUAGUGCAGAGGGCCACUGUGGACUCCCCUACCUCUGAUCUUAUACAUUUUUGUCUUCAUUGCUGCUAAGGAGCUAUUUGUUGGUCCACUAUUGUUCAUCUUUGACCUGCUCUAUGGGGGACUUAGUUGUGGUCUUCUAAUUUUAAAGGAUGUCAUGAGAUGGAAGAAAUGAAAUCACUAAUGAAACGUGUUGCGCAUUUGUUCAAUUAAACAUUUCUACUCUAUAAAAGUUCCCGAGAUAGAACCCAUAGCCUUCUCACUGAGCAACAUCUCCAAUACCUUUUUAUUUUGACACAAGGUCUAGCGAAGCUACCCAGGCAGGCUUUGAACUUAUGAUCUUCCUGUGCCAGCCUCCAGAGAAGCUGGAAUUACAGAGGUGUAUCCAUGUCUGGCCCAGGCUUGCUCUUUUAUAACAACCCACUCUUGUGUGACUCACUCCUCAGGACCAGCAUUGAUCCCAUCUGAGGGCAGUACCCCAAUGACCUACCUACCUUUUGUUAGGCAUCAUUUCUUAAAGAGUCCAACAUCUCUCACAUCACCACACUAGAGACUAAACUUCCAGCACGUGAGCCUCUAGAGGUCAAACCACACCCAAACUAUAGAGCUAUCCAAAAAUAUACCUUAACAAACCAGAGCUGGAAAACUUGCUGAAGGUUUGACGAAGUAAGUGGUCAUGACAGAGAAACUCAGGUGUCAUGGAACUACCAGGUGGCCUCUAAGAACUCCAGAAAUUCCCUAGGAACUGCAGUGGCUCCUAGGAGAUGAAGACAUCCUUUAGCCAACAGCCCAUGGAAACUGAAGGGCCUCUAUUCUACAAAUACAAGGAAAAGAAUUCCACCAGUGACUCAUCAAUAGCCAGCUUGGACAUGAAUCCUUAAUGAAAGAAACUUUCCAAAGAGAAUGUAACCUAAUCCACACCUUGGUUCCAGCCCUGUGAGGGCAAUGGACUUAGCUAAGCAAUGUCUACAGAUAUAACUCUGACUAGGGUAAAACCUGAAACCAUGUAUUGUUCUAAUCUUCUAAGUGGAUUGUACCUUGUUGCACAGAAAAAAAAAAUCAAAUAUACACGUUGAACUGGAA
rnacentral:lncRNA from 1 species